rnacentral:lncRNA from 1 species
CCCUGAAGGUGCGUCCGAUGUUGAGGGUUUUUAUUGAGUUCGUAUCACCAUCCUCACCAUCGUAAUGUCACCGAGAAUGCAUCUUUGCACAUCGUAUUGCAUUCGUGUUUCCAUCGUUUCCAUCGGGCAGUUUUGACAUUACGAUGUCUACACGAAUGAAUCACGAAGAUACCCGAAGGUCUUACGAUGGCAACACGACUUCGUGAAGACCUCGUAAUCCCGUCGUG